rnacentral:rRNA from 1 species
UCCUACGGGAGGCAGCAGUGGGGAAUAUUGCACAAUGGGCGAGAGCCUGAACCAGCCAAGUCGCGUGAGGGAAGACGGUCCUACGGAUUGUAAACCUCUUUUGCCGGGGAGCAAAAAGCGGUACGUGUACCGCAUCGAGAGUACCCGGAGAAAAAGCAUCGGCUAACUCCGUGCCAGCAGCCGCGGUAAUACGGAGGAUGCGAGCGUUAUCCGGAUUUAUUGGGUUUAAAGGGUGCGCAGGCGGCGAGUUAAGUCAGCGGUAAAAUUUCGGGGCUCAACCCCGCCGAGCCGUUGAAACUGGCUUG